rnacentral:rRNA from 1 species
GACGAACGCUGGCGGCGUGCUUAACACAUGCAAGUCGAACGGAAAGGCCCUGCUUUUGUGGGGUGCUCGAGUGGCGAACGGGUGAGUAACACGUGAGUAACCUGCCCUUGACUUUGGGAUAACUUCAGGAAACUGGGGCUAAUACCGGAUAGGAGCUCCUGCUGCAUGGUGGGGGUUGGAAAGUUUCGGCGGUUGGGGAUGGACUCGCGGCUUAUCAGCUUGUUGGUGGGGUAGUGGCUUGCCAAGGCUUUGACGGGUAGCCGGCCUGAGAGGGUGACCGGCCACAUUGGGACUGAGAUACGGCCCAGACUCCUACGGGAGGCAGCAGUGGGGAAUAUUGCACAAUGGGCGGAAGCCUGAUGCAGCAACGCCGCGUGCGGGAUGACGGCCUUCGGGUUGUAAACCGCUUUCGCCUGUGACGAAGCGUGGGUGACGGUAAUGGGUAAAGAAGCACCGGCUAACUACGUG